GUUAACGAAGCAAAACUUGGUAUUGCAAAAGAUCUAAACCCUUUACAUAGAAGUUCAAAUCUUCUCGUUGACU
rnacentral:tRNA from 1 species